rnacentral:rRNA from 1 species
AGCGAACGCUGGCGGCAGGCCUAACACAUGCAAGUCGAACGAAGUCUUCGGACUUAGUGGCGGACGGGUGGGUAACACGUGGGAACGUGCCUUUAGGUUCGGAAUAACUCAGGGAAACUUGUGCUAAUACCGAAUGUGCCCUUCGGGGGAAAGAUUUAUCGCCUUUAGAGCGGCCCGCGUCUGAUUAGCUAGUUGGUGAGGUAAAGGCUCACCAAGGCUACGAUCAGUAGCUGGUCUGAGAGGAUGACCAGCCACAUUGGGACUGAGACACGGCCCAAACUCCUACAGGAGGCAGCAGUGGGGAAUCUUGCGCAAUGGGCGAAAGCCUGACGCAGCCAUGCCGCGUGGAUGAUGAAGGUCUUAGGAUUGUAAAAUCCUUUCACCGGUGAAGAUAAUGACUGUAGCCGGAGAAGAAGCCCCGGCUAACUUCGUGCCAGCAGCCGCAGUAAGAC